rnacentral:rRNA from 1 species
GUGCCAGCCGCCGCGGUAAUACGUAGGGUGCAAGCGUUAAUCGGAAUUACUGGGCGUAAAGCGUGCGCAGGCGGUCGUGCAAGACAGAUGUGAAAUCCCCGGGCUCAACCUGGGAACUGCAUUUGUGACUGCACGGCUGGAGUGCGGCAGAGGGGGAUGGAAUUCCGCGUGUAGCAGUGAAAUGCGUAGAUAUGCGGAGGAACACCGAUGGCGAAGGCAAUCCCCUGGACCUGUACUGACGCUCAUGCACGAAAGCGUGGGGAGCAAACAGGAUUAGAUACCCUCGUAGUCC